rnacentral:rRNA from 1 species
GAUGAACGCUGGCGGCGUGCCUAAUACAUGCAAGUCGAGCGAACGGACGAGAAGCUUGCUUCUCUGAUGUUAGCGGCGGACGGGUGAGUAACACGUGGAUAACCUACCUAUAAGACUGGGAUAACUUCGGGAAACCGUAGCUAAUACCGGAUAAUAUUUUGAACCGCAUGGUUCAAAAGUGAAAGACGGUCUUGCUGUCACUUAUAGAUGGAUCCGCGCUGCAUUAUCUAGUUGGUAAGGUAACGGCAUACCAAGGCAACGAUGCAUAGCCGACCUGAGAGGGUGAUCGGCCACACUGGAACUGAGACACGGUCCAGACUCCUACGGGAGGCAGCAGUAGGGAAUCUUCCGCAAUGGGCGAAAGCCUGACGGAGCAACGCCGCGUGAGUGAUGAAGGUCUUCGGAUCGUAAAACUCUGUUAUUAGGGAAGAACAUAUGUGUAAGUAACUGUGCACAUCUUGACGGUACCUAAUCAGAAAGCCACGGCUAACUACGUG